UACGGAGGGGGCGAGCGUUAUUCGGAAUUAUUGGGCGUAAAGGGCGCGUAGGCGGCUUGACAAGUCAAAGGUGAAAUCCCUCGGCCCAACUGAGGAACUGCCUUUGAAACUGUCUGGCUUGAGGCCGGGAGGGGGUAGCGGAAUUCCCAGUGUAGCGGUGAAAUGCGUAGAUAUUGGGAGGAACACCAGUGGCGAAGGCGGCUACCUGGACCGGUUCUGACGCUGAGGAGCGAAAGCGUGGGGAGCGAACAGG
rnacentral:rRNA from 1 species